rnacentral:rRNA from 1 species
CAUGCAGUCGAGCGGGGGAGGUUGCUUCGGUAACUGACCUAGCGGCGGACGGGUGAGUAAUACUUAGGAAUCUGCCUAUUAAUGGGGGACAACAUCUCGAAAGGGAUGCUAAUACCGCAUACGCCCUACGGGGGAAAGCAGGGGAUCACUUGUGACCUUGCGUUAAUAGAUGAGCCUAAGUCGGAUUAGCUAGUUGGUGGGGUAAAGGCCUACCAAGGCGACGAUCUGUAGCGGGUCUGAGAGGAUGAUCCGCCACACUGGGACUGAGACACGGCCCAGACUCCUACGGGAGGCAGCAGUGGGGAAUAUUGGACAAUGGGGGGAACCCUGAUCCAGCCAUGCCGCGUGUGUGAAGAAGGCCUUAUGGUUGUAAAGCACUUUAAGCGAGGAGGAGGCUCUUUUGGUUAAUACCCAAGAUGAGUGGACGUUACUCGCAGAAUAAGCACCGGCUAACUCUGUGCCAGCAGCCGCGGUAAUACAGAGGGUGCGAGCGUUAAUCGGAUUUACUGGGCGUAAAGCGUGCGUAGGCGGCUUUUUAAGUCGGAUGUGAAAUCCCCGAGCUUAACUUGGGAAUUGCAUUCGAUACUGGGAAGCUAGAGUAUGGGAGAGGAUGGUAGAAUUCCAGGUGUA